GCACUGCUGAGGAGUCCUACACUAGGACGAAACGGCCGUACAGUAC
rnacentral:hammerhead_ribozyme from 1 species